ACCACACCACAUCAUGUCACAUCAAGCAUGUCACGUGGUGCCGCACUUUCCUCUGCUGGGAGGAUGGGGCUCUGCUCCACAGGGGGUGGAAGGAAGGGGUGGUGGAGGGUCCUGCCCCUGCCAGAGGGGGGUGGCCCUGGGCAAUGGGGAGGGCAACGUGCUGCCUGAAGCUGGCCCCGGAAAGGUGCUUGUGCAUGGGCACAGAGGUGUGCACACACACACGGGGCUGCAGGGGCAGGAGGAGGAAGGAGCCCCAGCCCAGACUCAGCCCAGCCC
rnacentral:lncRNA from 1 species